UACCUGGUUGAUCCUGCCAGUAGCAUAUGCUUGUCUCAAAGAUUAAGCCAUGCAAGUCUAAGUACACACGGCCGGUACAGUGAAACUGCGAAUGGCUCAUUAAAUCAGUUAUGGUUCCUUUGAUCGCUCUACCGUUACUUGGAUAACUGUGGCAAUUC
rnacentral:ncRNA from 1 species